GCUACGGCCACACCGGCCUGAGUACGCCUGAUCUCGUCUGAUCUCGGAAGCUAAGCAGGGUCGGGCCUGGUUAGUACUUGGAUGGGAGACCGCCUAGGACUAACAGGUGCUGUAAGCU
rnacentral:rRNA from 1 species